CAGUAGCCGCGGUAAUACGGAGGGGGCUAGCGUUGUUCGGAAUUACUGGGCGUAAAGCGCACGUAGGCGGCUUUUUAAGUCAGGGGUGAAAUCCCAGAGCUCAACUCUGGAACUGUCUUUGAUACUGUCGAUCUGGAGUAUGGAAGAGGUGAGUGGAAUUCCGAGUGUAGAGGUGAAAUGCGUAGAUAUCGGAAGGAACACCUGUGGCGAAAGCGGCUCACUGGACCAUUACUGACGCUGAGGCGCGAAAGCUAGGGGAGCAAACAGGAUUAGAUACCCCCGUAGUCCCUGUCUCUUAUAC
rnacentral:rRNA from 1 species